GGUUGCGAUCAUACCAGCACUAAUGCACCGGAUCCCAUCAGAACUCCGCAGUUAAGCGGGCUUGGGCGAGAGUAGUACUAGGAUGGGUGUUCCCCUGGGAAGUCAUCGUGUUGCAACCC
rnacentral:rRNA from 1 species